AACAUGCUAGUUUCAUUCGCCUUACUACUUUUUUGGUGGUAUGGAAAGAGAGAAACAAGAGAGCUUUUGAGGGAGUAGAAAAUGGUUUUGAUAGGGUUAGAGAUAGAUAGUUUCAAACCCUGAGUUUUUUAUUUAUGGGUCAUCCUCUUUAUUCAAUAGAUGAUUUUGAUAAUUUUAUUGAUAUUUUUAUUGACAUGUGAAUAUUUUAUACAUGGGUUGACACCACUUUGACACUUAUGAAUGAAUCAUACCAUACUUUUUAUUUCAAAAAAGAAAAAAGCAGUUUUGCAUUAUCAAUUUCUGAUGAAGGGAUGAGAGAUUACUUUGACUUAAAUUUAUCAAGGUCAAGUUAUGGUUGGGAGAUGUAAAUAGGUGGGAAGCAAUUUCUUUCUAUAGCUACUAUAGAUGAUGUACUGAGAUAAUGUUUACCUGAUCAUAUACCCUUUUGCAAAUUGCACGAUAAUUAUAAAAAUGUAGCCAGCUGCAAAAUGCCUUAUCUGAAAAAUAUAUUUGGUGUAGUAGUUUAGUUUUAUAAUUUUGACAUUUCAGAAUUAUAUAGAACUUGACAAUUUCUUUUGCAAUAAUAAAUUUGAGUGGAGAAGGUUAGGCCUUGUUUGGUUAUAGGAAGUUGUUUUGGUUUUUAUUUUCUAAAUUCUUAUGUGUACAUGAGAAUGUGUAAUUGUUGGAACGGAUAACAAGGUUUGGGAAAGGCUAUUGAAAAUAAAUCAAGAGUUUGAAAACAAUUUUUUAUUGUUUUCAAAUUCAUUCCAUAUUUUCAUUAUCAGUUCCGAAUCUUAUUUUCAUUUUUAAUAACUAUUUGUACUUUUUAUACAAACAUAUAUUAAGUUAUACAAAAACUCAAGACUGUUCGUGAUUAACCGUAGUGAUUAUAAAUAUAUGCUGGUUUCUGAAUAAACUGUGCUUUAGAAGAUGAAGUUUCACCUAUCAACUUGGUUUUCCUCUCCAUUCUAACUUUUUGAUAUUUUGAUAGAAUUACGUGAUUGUUUUAUCUCAAAGCAACUAUGGAUGUCUAAGAGAUCUUACUUAUGGUGAUUCUGAAUAGAACUUUUCUUUGGAAGAUGAACUCUUACCCAUAAGCUUGGUCUGUGUCCAAUUAACUUCUUUUUGUAUU
rnacentral:lncRNA from 1 species